rnacentral:rRNA from 1 species
AACGAACGCUGGCGGCAUGCCUAACACAUGCAAGUCGAACGAGACCUUCGGGUCUAGUGGCGCACGGGUGCGUAACGCGUGGGAACCUGCCUUUAGGUUCGGAAUAACUCAGAGAAAUUUGAGCUAAUACCGGAUAAUGUCUUCGGACCAAAGAUUUAUCGCCUUUAGAUGGGCCCGCGUUGGAUUAGCUAGUUGGUGGGGUAAAGGCCUACCAAGGCGACGAUCCAUAGCUGGUCUGAGAGGAUGAUCAGCCACACUGGGACUGAGACACGGCCCAGACUCCUACGGGAGGCAGCAGUGGGGAAUAUUGGACAAUGGGCGAAAGCCUGAUCCAGCAAUGCCGCGUGAGUGAUGAGCUAGGUGUAAGACUCUUUACUCGGACGGAUAAUAGACGGUACCGAGAGAAUAAG